UACGGAGGGUGCGAGCGUUGUCCGGAAUCACUGGGCGUAAAGGGCGCGUAGGCGGCGCAGCAAGUCAGCGGUGAAAGCCCGAGGCUCAACUUCGGGUCGGCCGUUGAUACUGCUGUGCUCGAGCACUGUAGAGGCAGAUGGAAUUCCGGGUGUAGCGGUGGAAUGCGUAGGAGAUCCGGAAGAACACCGGUGGCGAAGGCGGUCUGCUGGGC
rnacentral:rRNA from 1 species